GUGGUUGUAGCUCAACUGGUUAGAGCGUCGGCUUGUGGAGCCGAAGGUUGCGGGUUCAAGUCCCGUCAGCCACCCCA
rnacentral:tRNA from 1 species